UUGUUGGUAAGGUAAAAGCUUACCAAGGCUUCGAUCAGUAGCUGGUCUGAGAGGACGACCAGCCACACUGGGACUGAGACACGGCCCAGACUCCUACGGGAGGCAGCAGUGGGGAAUUUUGGACAAUGGGGGCAACCCUGAUCCAGCCAUGCCGCGUGAGUGAAGAAGGCCUUCGGGUUGUAAAGCUCUUUCAGCCGGAACGAAACGGUUACGGUUAACACCCGUGACUACUGACGGUACCGGAAGAAGAAGCACCGGCUAACUAUGUGCCAGCAGCCGCGGUAAUACGUAGGGUGCGAGCGUUAAUCGGAAUUACUGGGCGUAAAGCGUGCGCAGGUGGUUUUGUAAGUCAGAUGUGAAAGCCCCGGGCUCAACCUGGGAACUGCGUUUGAAACUACAAGACUAGAGUGUGGCAGAGGGGGGUGGAAUUYCGCGUGUAGCAGUGAAAUGCGUAGAGAUGUGGAGGAACACCGAUGGCGAAGGCAGCCCCCUGGGUCAACACUGACGCUCAGGCACGAAAGCAUGGGGAGCAAACAGGAUUAGAUACCCUGGUAGUCCAUGCCCUAAACGAUGUCAACUAGUUGUCGGGCCUUUACGGGCUUGGUAACGUAGCUAACGCGUGAAGUUGACCGCCUGGGGAGUACGAUCGCAAGAUUAAAACUCAAAUGAAUUGACGGGGACCCGCACAAGCGGUGGAUUAUGUGGAUUAAUUCGAUGCAACGCGAAAAGCCUUACCUACCCUUGACAUGUAUCGAAGCCCGCAGAAAAGCGGGGGUGCCCGAAAGGGAACGAUAACACAGGUGCUGCAUGGCUGUCGUCAGCUCGUGUCGUGAGAUAUUGGGUUAAGUCCCGCAACGAGCGCAACCCUUGUCAUUAAUUGCCAUCAUUUAGUUGGGCACUUUAAUGAGACUGCCGG
rnacentral:rRNA from 1 species